GCCAAGGUAGCUCAGUGGUAGAGCAUGCGCCUGAAGAGCGCGUGGUCGUCAGUUCAACUCUGACCCUUGGCA
rnacentral:tRNA from 3 species